GUCUGAAGAAGGCCUUCGGGUUGUAAAGGACUUUUGUUAGGGAAGAAAAGCCGGGUGUUAAUACCACCUGGUGCUGACGGUACCUAAAGAAUAAGCACCGGCUAACUACGUGCCAGCAGCCGCGGUAAUACGUAGGGUGCGAGCGUUAAUCGGAAUUACUGGGCGUAAAGCGAGCGCAGACGGUUAAUUAAGUCAGAUGUGAAAUCCCCGAGCUCAACUUGGGACGUGCAUUUGAAACUGGUUAACUAGAGUGUGUCAGAGGGAGGUAGAAUUCCACGUGUAGCAGUGAAAUGCGUAGAGAUGUGGAGGAAUACCGAUGGCGAAGGCAGCCUCCUGGGAUAACACUGACGUUCAUGCUCGAAAGCGUGGGUAGCAAACAGGAUUAGAUACCCUGGUAGUCCACGCCCUAAACGAUGACAAUUAGCUGUUGGGACACUAGAUGUCUUAGUAGCGAAGCUAACGCGUGAAAUUGUCCGCCUGGGGAGUACGGUCGCAAGAUUAAAACUCAAAGGAAUUGACGGGGACCCGCACAAGCGGUGGAUGAUGUGGAUUAAUUCGAUGCAACGCGAAGAACCUUACCUGGUCUUGACAUGUACGGAAUCUCUUAGAGAUAGGAGAGUGCCUUCGGGAACCGUAACACAGGUGCUGCAUGGCUGUCGUCAGCUCGUGUCGUGAGAUGUUGGGUUAAGUCCCGCAACGAGCGCAACCCUUGUCAUUAGUUGCCAUCAUUAAGUUGGGCACUCUAAUGAGACUGCCGGUGACAAACCGGAGGAAGGUGGGGAUGACGUCAAGUCCUCAUGGCCCUUAUGACCAGGGCUUCACACGUCAUACAAUGGUCGGUACAGAGGGUAGCGAAGCCGCGAGGUGAAGCCAAUCUCAGAAAGCCGAUCGUAGUCCGGAUUGCACUCUGCAACUCGAGUGCAUGAAGUCGGAAUCGCUAGUAAUCGCAGGUCAGCAUACUGCGGUGAAUACGUUCCCGGGUCUUGUACACACCGCCCGUCACACCAUGGGAGUGGGGGAUACCAGAAUUGGGUAGAC
rnacentral:rRNA from 1 species